GUGUUGUGGGAAAUGAGAGAAGGUUAGCACAUCCCUUGACAAGCAGGGAAGGCCCCCAGACCUGACAGCAUGACAAUACGCACAAGGUAAAGAAAUUACUACUUAAUGAGUGUUGGUGUAA
ensembl:snRNA